AAAGUCGUAACAAGGUUUCCGUAGGUGAACCUGCGGAAGGAUCAUUAACAAAUCUUUUCGGCCUUUGGUCGAACACCAAACUUAAAAAAAAAGGUCAUUCUUUUGGCCUUCCUUUUUUUAAAGGUUUACUUUUUGGGGGAAUGAAAUCACCAUUUGUUUGCAUUUGGUGUGCCAACAAAAACUAAACCUUUUAAAUCUUGGGGUAAUUUUUAACCAAGUUUGAAAUUGAAUGUUGUUUAUACAAUUUUUUACCACUUUUUGUGUGUAAAGAAUGAAAAUAAUCACCACUUUUGACAAUGGAUCUCUUGGCUCUU
rnacentral:misc_RNA from 1 species